AAUCGAUUGUUACUUUCAGGAUUGACAAAGAAUGUAAACCUCUCGUUUGAAAAAUAAAAUUAUUCACUUGAGAAUGCAGUUUCGUUGAAAUGUGUAAAAUUCAAAUCGAGAACAAUCACUGUAAAGUAUCCAGGCACCUUCUCCAGUAGAUAAGCCUACCACAAAUCCAGAACCAGAGAAUUGUGCCUCGCUGUGCCAAUCGAUCCUCCAACAAAAGAAACCAUCCCAUAAGGAACCCAAAGAAUGGGAAUUCGCACCGAUUAAAUGGAUAAAAACCUUCGCGAAUUCCAUCAGCAAAUUUUUCACUGGUAAAAACCGUAUAUUCCCCAAUUUGAUCGUCAGAACUGGAGUAAAAUCAGUUCCACAGAAACGACGAUACUGUUGUUUUAAACCGAAGUCUUAUCAAUAUCCUCCUCGCACACCAUACACAAACGCCUACUCAGCAUCAAGACCGAGACGUGAAUCCAAAGAUGGAUGUUGCUUCACAUUUUGUUGCACGUAUAUUCCCGACGAUGAUGGUAACGGAGGAGAAUUAGUAGUUGUCGGGGGAGGCGCGAUGAAUCAUUCUCACGGGGGCCAACGUACGACUGCUGCAGCAGGGUGCUGUUUUUCUGCCCACAUUGAUGAUUCCAGCACUUCAACUACUACUAAUUCAGCAAAUCCCGAAGGGACUUUUAGCACAGGAAAUCCAUGCUGUUGUCCAUGUUCGGCUGAAGAUGUAAUCAAUUGCGCAGGUGCAACGUGCAGCUGUAUCGGAUCAGCUUGCAGUUGUGUAGGUCAAGCUCUUGGAACUUGUCUGGAAUUCAUGUGGAACAUGAGUAGUGGAUUGAUUAUAUCAUGUUUAAAAGGCGCAGCUGAUUGUUGUUUAGAUCCUUGACUCAACUAUGAAAUUCUGGACAGUUAUUUUGUGCUCACAUAUUGAAUUUCAUGUUUUAGGGUUCUAAAGAUUACAUAAUUAUUCACUUAUAUGUAUCA